AUGCUUUGCUUACCUAAAGGCUGAAAUGAAGUUAUGCAUUAUUUGGCUGUUGACUUGCAUCCUGUGGAGCUGGACCUCUGGAAAACACAGACGUAUGUUGGUCGUGAAUUCUACAAGCUGGAAAUGCAGUAGAUCUGCUCUGCUUGGAAUUCAGUAAAACAUGACAUGUUGCCCCUUGAGAAGUGCAGAGUUCAGCUGCUGAGGAUGAGGACUGGUAUGGGAUCUGUAAGUGGAAGAAGCUAAGAAGCUGUGAUGUUCUGGAGAUGAUGUCUAGCUGUUAAUGGUGUGCAAUAGCUCGCACAAGUUCAUAUUCUUUGUUGUGUGAAACUAGAUCCCUAUUGAAACACUCAUGAAAACAGUGACCUUGUGGCCCACUUCACAGCUCUGUUAUCGAUCCUCCUCAUUAUAUAUUCCUUUAAAUGUACUUAGGUGUAUUUUUUUUCUGGCUUGAAGAAAUGUGACUAUGUAUACCAUGAGGGAGUUUUGUUUGGGGUGCAGACAGUUACAGGGAAUUUAUCUCGGUGUUUAAUUUUUAUGCUUUAAUUCCUCAGUUUUAAGGCAAGGCUACUUGAUCUGAUUUAUGAUGGCAGUGUGGAGUUGUGAGGGAAAGAAGAGAAAUUUUUGUUCAUUCAAACCACAUGGUUCUCAAGGCCUUGAAAAUUUUAGUUGCAUUAAACAUGGAAGGUACCAUCAUUUUUCACAGAUCUCCUUGAAAAUCCAUUUCUUGCACACAAAAAAAAAUCACGAUUUCACAAUGUUACAUGUUUAGAAAGUUGAAUGAAAAUACUCCGUGGCUAAUCCUGACAGUUCUAACUUGGAGAAAAGCCAAGGCCCCAGAACAAUGCACAGCCAGUGCAUUUGUAACAUGAUACAGAAAUCAAUACACAUGACCAGAUUUUCCAGUCCACCACGCUUAUUUUACAAACCCGUCAGAGGUCUGGCUGGGAGCAUUCCCCAUGUCAAGGAGACU